rnacentral:rRNA from 1 species
GACCAACGCUGGCGGCAUGCCUAACACAUGCAAGUCGAACGGACAGAACAGGGAAGCUUUUCGGAGUGGAACUGGAAAGUUAGUGGCGGAUGGGUGAGUAACGCGUGGACAACCUACCUUGUAAAGGGGAAUAACCUCGAGAAAUCGAAGCUAAUACCCCAUAAUAACCUUGCUUCGCAUGAAGUAAGGAGGAAAGGCGGCCUUAGCGCUGUCGAUACAAGAUGGGUCCGCGUCUGAUUAGCUAGUUGGUGAGGUAAAGGCUCACCAAGGCGACGAUCAGUAGCCGGCCUGAGAGGGUGAACGGCCACAUUGGGACUGAGACACGGCCCAAACUCCUACGGGAGGCAGCAGUGGGGAAUCUUCCGCAAUGGGCGAAAGCCUGACGGAGCAAUGCCGCGUGAGUGAAGAAGGCCUUCGGGUUGUAAAACUCUGUCCUUAUCGAAGAGAGAGUGUUGUAGUAACUGACAAUACUAGGACGGUAGAUGAGGAGGAAGCCCCGGCCAACUAUGUG